UGUGGGGUUUUCUGUAAAAUGGG
rnacentral:piRNA from 1 species